GAUGAAGAACGUAGUGAAACGCGAUACGUAAUGUGAAUUGCAGAAUUCAGUGAAUCAUCGAAUCUUUGAACGCACAUUGCGCCCCCUGGUAUUCCGGGGGGCAUGCCUGUCCGAGCGUCAUUGCUGCCCUCAAGCACGGCUUGUGUGUUGGGCCUCCGUCCUCCUCCCGGGGGACGGGCCCGAAAGGCAGCGGCGGCACCGCGUCCGGUCCUCGAGCGUAUGGGGCUUCGUCACCCGCUCUUGUAGGCCCGGCCGGCGCUUGCCGACACAUCAAUCUUUUUUCCAGGUUGACCUCGGAUCAGGUAGGGAUACCCGCUGAACUUAAGCAUAUCAAUAAGCGGAGGA
rnacentral:misc_RNA from 1 species